rnacentral:rRNA from 1 species
AGCAGUGGGGAAUAUUGGACAAUGGGCGAAAGCCUGAUCCAGCCAUGCCGCGUGUGUGAAGAAGGUCUUCGGAUUGUAAAGCACUUUAAGUUGGGAGGAAGGGCAGUAAGCGAAUACCUUGCUGUUUUGACGUUACCGACAGAAUAAGCACCGGCUAACUCUGUGCCAGCAGCCGCGGUAAUACAGAGGGUGCAAGCGUUAAUCGGAAUUACUGGGCGUAAAGCGCGCGUAGGUGGUUUGUUAAGUUGAAUGUGAAAUCCCCGGGCUCAACCUGGGAACUGCAUCCAAAACUGGCAAGCUAGAGUAGGGCAGAGGGUGGUGGAAUUUCCUGUGUAGCGGUGAAAUGCGUAGAUAUAGGAAGGAACACCAGUGGCGAACGCGACCACCUGGGCUCAUACUGACACUGAG